AAAAAAAAAAAAAAUCCAUCAUUGCAACAAAUAACAUAUAAUGAUUUGAACUUAUUUUGAGAAGUUUGGGGGAGUGGGGACCAUGCAAGGCAUCUCUUUCGUUGAAAAUAAGACACGAGUAGGCCGAUGCCGUUUGUUUUGAUGGCCCGUGACCUUUGAAAUUCUGGAACCAUAUUCAAGAGGAUUGCAAGUAGCUGCACCAUGGUCCAGAUUUUAUAUAUUUGUGCGUGAGUGGUGGAUCCCGUCCAACUAAAAAUUUCAUCUUAAAAUGUUCUUGAUACUAGAAAAAGAAAAUGGCCUUCCUGAGAGGAGCUGGGAUACUGAAUUAAACUGCACGAAAUGACGAAAUGAGACGUAGUCUCUGCAGCUGCAGCAGCCGCUAGCUGUAGUUCAUAAGAGCAAAAAAUAAAUGGAAACGCAGCCCAUAUGAAAGGAACUACAGUUCAUAAGAGCAAUAAUAUAUAUAUGUACUUGGGGUGGGGGAGAGCGGUAGAUAUUCCAGCCGUCCUUUUUUGAGGGGGAUUUCCAUACUUGCACAAGCACAAACCAGAAACAGAAUUACUUUGCACAGAACAAACACACACACACACAGAGAGAGAGAGAGAAGCAAAAGGUGGGAUGGUAUAAAAGUUAAAAUGUAAAAAUUUGAUUUGAUUUCGGUUUGAGUUUUUAGAAAACAUUCAAACUGACCUAACCCAACCUAUCCCAUAUGUAUAUAUAGGUGUAUAUAUUCAAAUCUAUCCGACCAGAUUCGACUCGAACUAGCCCAUAUAUAUAUAUAUAUAUAUAAGUAUGUAUUCAAACUAAACCAACCUAACCUGACCCGAC
rnacentral:lncRNA from 1 species